CCUAUAGUCUCAGUUACCCAGGAGGCUGGCAGGAGGAUGGCUCAAGCCCAGUUAAUGGGGUAGGUAUAUUUACCAAAAUGCAAAUACAUUAGACACUACCCUUCAGGACAAGGGAUAACAGCUAAGACAAAAGACAAUAAAGGGCUUAGAGGAAAGGCUGGGGAAUGAAAUGCUCUGGGGAACAAGAUCUCUGUAAAGCCCUCACACAUUCAUGGGAAUCUAGAAGGUCAUGUGCACAUCCAGGGCUGGGCACGUGCUCAGAAAAGACCUGAGAAGGCCAUAAGCUCACAUCACCUCUGGCUGACCUUCAGACUAAGCAAGCAUAAAGCAAAAGCUAAGGCAGAGUUUUACUGCCUGGCUGAGAAUUGAAGGCUUGCCCUAAUGCACAGAGAGAACACGUCUACCAAGAACAGAAGAUUUUUUCCUUCCUAGGCAUUUAAGGAAAUCUCUGUCAAAUCACUAUCUGAGCCCUGACUUCAGCCUUAUACAAGGUAGCCAUGUAACAAAAAUAUGUGUAGCCUCUUAAUAUUAUGAAAUUAAAAAAAAAAAAAAUCACUAUAUGACUUCAGUAGCCACACAUGACAAAUAAUACAGACUGUACAAAAUUAGUUCAGAAAAGUCACUAAACAAACAACUACAACAAGCAGCAGUAAUAAAUAAUGGGGAGUAUCAGAUUUCUAGUUACCACAUUACAAUAUUCAAAAUGUCCAGUUUUAUGUCGGCAUUGGUGGCAUACUGGUGAGCAUCGCUGCCUUCCAAAAUGUCUAGCUUAUAACUAAAAAUUAAGAAACAUGCAAAGAAACAAAGAAAGCAUGACCCAAUUACAGGAAAAAAAGAAAAAAAGAAGUUAACAGAAACUGUCUCUGAGGAAACCCAGACAUUGGACUUAUUAGACAAAGACCUUAAAAUCAAAUAUUUUAAAUAUGCUCUUCUUUUCCUGAAAUCUGAUUAAUAAAAAAUAAAUAGAUAAAUAUGCUCAAAGAGCUAAAAGAAACAAUGGACAAAUAACUAAAGGAAACCAGGAAAAUGAUGUCAGACUAAAAGGAGUAUCUCAAUAAAGAACUAGAAAUAAAGGAACCACAUAGAAAUUUUGGAGUUGAAAAGUAAUAUAACUGAAAUAAAAAUACAUGAGAGGUUCAGCUUUCUGACUUGGGCCCGGCAGAAUGGCUCCUGCAAAGAAGAGUGACAAGAAGAAGGGCCGUUCUGCUAUCAACGAAGUGGUGACCCGAGAAUACAUCAUCAACAUUCACAAGCGCAUCCAUGGAGUGGGCUUCAAGAAGAGUGCCCCUCAGGCACUCAAAGAGAUCCAGAAAUUUGCCAUGAAGGAGAUGGGAACUCCAGAUGUGUGCAUUGGUACCAGGCUCAACAAAGCUGUCUGGGCCAAAGGAAUAAGGAAUGUCCCAAACAGGAUUCGUGUGCAGUUGUCUAGAAAACGUAAUGAGGAUGAAGAUUCACCAAACAAGCUCUAUACUUUGGUUACCUAUGUACCUGUUACCAUUUUCAAAAAUCUACAGACAGUCAACGUGGAUGAAAACUAACCACUGAUUGCCAAAUAUAUCAAAUAAAGUUAAAAAA